rnacentral:rRNA from 1 species
UACGAAGGGUGCAAGCGUUACUCGGAAUUACUGGGCGUAAAGCGUGCGUAGGCGGUUUGUUAAGUCCGUUGUGAAAUCGCUCGGCUCAACUGGGCGGGGUCAGCGGAUACGGAGUGGCUGGAGCAAGCUAGGGGGCAAUGGAAUUCCCGGUGUAGUGGUGGAAUGCGUAGAUAUCGGGAGGAACACCAGUGGCGAAGGCGGUUGCCUGGAGCUUUGCUGACGCUGAUGCGCGAAAGCGUGGGGAGCGAUCCGG